AGUGAGGAGAUUGUAGAUCCUGAGAACGUCUGGAACGUUAUUCCCAGCUGGGCUGGCAGAUCGCCUGAGAGAACUACUCAUGUGACAGAAGACGUGCUGUCCCUGCCUGAGGAACCCUUACUUCAAGAAGAGCAAAGUGGUUGCAGUUCAGCUAGAUCUGAAGAUUCCCAUGUUCUCCAGCCUUUCUGAAAGAGGACUUAUUUAGCACAUGGAGUGUAAUAAGUCUCUGUAUGCACAUCCAUUCCCACCAAAAUGGGUUUUUUAGGAAAUAUACAACCAAGGCACUUGGGUGUUCUACGUAACUGAGCACAUGCCUGGUACUGCCACGCUUCCUUGUCAUGAAUAGUGCUUGGUGGGAGACUGGUGCUGUCUGUUGGGCGUGUUAAAAUUGUGCUUUAAUCAAACAAUGUGCCUCUUGACAUGCAUCCCUUACUGAAUGCUGGUGUGGCACUUACUUAUGCCUAGCUGAUAGUGGGUUCUUGAUGAAAAGCUUCCCGUGAGCUGCUGUGGUGAUAUUUGCUGUUGCAUUGUUUUGGUUUUGUUUCUUUAGGUUCAGGAAAAUUCAGAGUAUUUUUGAGGGAAGUUUUUUCCUCUGUAUAGAAAUGAAGUUGUUCAGGGCUGACGCCUCGCAUUUUGUGUCAUUACAAAGCAAUUAAGAAGCUGGAAUAAAGCUUGUGCUGGCAAAUGCUGUUCA
rnacentral:lncRNA from 1 species